UUAUGCAGAACCCAGUUUCCUAAUAGGUUCCAGGAGUACCCUGAUUUCGAGCGAGGCCCUUAAGAGCCGGGAAUGAAUUGAAGACGAUCUUGGGAUUCCCAAGCGUGGGAAAGUCUAGCAGUAGACAACUACUACAACCUAAUCCGCAACUGGAAGCAGGCCAAGAAGGAACUCCUGCUGACUUCGCGUGUCAUACGCCUUUACACCCCGCUUCUACUCAACAUUUGGGACUUACCCAAUAUGCGUG
rnacentral:lncRNA from 1 species